rnacentral:rRNA from 1 species
CAAGGAAGGCAGCAGGCGCGCAAAUUACCCAAUCCCGACUCGGGGAGGUAGUGACAAUAAAUACUGAUACAGGGCUCUUUUGGGUCUUGUAAUCGGAAUGAGUACAAUUUAAACCCCUUAACGAGGAACAAUUGGAGGGCAAGUCUGGUGCCAGCAGCCGCGGUAAUUCCAGCUCCAAUAGCGUAUAUUAAAGUUGUUGCAGUUAAAAAGCUCGUAGUUGAACCUUGGGCCUGGCUGGCCGGUCCGCCUCACCGCGUGUACUGGUCCGGCCGGGCCUUUCCUUCUGGAGAGCCGCAUGCCCUUCACUGGGUGUGUCGGGGAACCAGGACUUUUACUUUGAAAAAAUUAGAGUGUUCAAAGCAGGCCUUUGCUCGAAUACGUUAGCAUGGAAUAAUAGAAUAGGACGUGCGGUCCUAUUUUGUUGGUUUCUAGGACCGCCGUAAUGAUUAAUAGGGAUAGUCGGGGGCAUCAGUAUUCAAUUGUCAGAGGUGAAAUUCUUGGAUUUAUUGAAGACUAACUACUGCGAAAGCAUUUGCCAAGGAUGUUUUCAUUAAUCAGUGAACGAAAGUUAGGGGAUCGAAGACGAUCAGAUACCGUCGUAGUCUUAACCGUAAACUAUGCCGACUAGGGAUCGGGCGAUGUUUCUAUCUUGACUCGCUCGGCACCUUACGAGAAAUCAUAAG